GCUUUUGUAGUUGAACCACAACUACAGCUUUUCAGACUGCCAGUCUGGGUUAAACCCCCAGCAAAAGUG
rnacentral:tRNA from 1 species